GAUGAACGCUGGCGGCGUGCCUAAUACAUGCAAGUCGAGCGAACGGACGAGAAGCUUGCUUUUCUGAUGUUAGCGGCGGACGGGUGAGUAACACGUGGAUAACCUACCUAUAAGACUGGGAUAACUUCGGGAAACCGGAGCUAAUACCGGAUAAUAUUUUGAACCGCAUGGUUCAAAAGUGAAAGACGGUCUUGCUGUCACUUAUAGAUGGAUCCGCGCUGCAUUAGCUAGUUGGUAAGGUAACGGCUUACCAAGGCAACGAUGCAUAGCCGACCUGAGAGGGUGAUCGGCCACACUGGAACUGAGACACGGUCCAGACUCCUACGGGAGGCAGCAGUAGGGAAUCUUCCGCAAUGGGCGAAAGCCUGACGGAGCAACGCCGCGUGAGUGAUGAAGGUCUUCGGAUCGUAAAACUCUGUUAUUAGGGAAGAACAUAUGUGUAAGUAACUGUGCACAUCUUGACGGUACCUAAUCAGAAAGCCACGGCUUACUACGUG
rnacentral:rRNA from 1 species